rnacentral:rRNA from 1 species
AGGGUUAUCCGGGAUACAGGUGGUGCAUGGUUGUCGCCAGCUCGUGUCGUGAGAUGUUGGGUUAAGUCCCGCAACGGGCGCAACCCUUCGUCUUUAGUUACCAUCAUUCAGUUGGGGACGUCUAGAGAGACUGCCGGUGAUAAACCGGAGGAAGGCGGGGAUGACGUCAAGUCCUCAUGGCCCUUAUGUCCAGGGCUACACACGUGCUACAAUGGCCGGUACAAAGGGUAGCAAGACCGCGAGGUGGAGCCAACCCCAAAAAGCCGGUCUCAGUUCGGAUUGGAGUCUGCAACUCGACUCCAUGAAGUUGGAAUCGCUAGUAAUCGUGGAUCAGCAUGCCACGGUGAAUAUGUUCCCGGGCCUU